CUGACGGAGCAACGCCGCGUGAGUGAUGAAGGCUUUCGGGUCGUAAAACUCUGUUGUUAGGGAAGAACAAGUGCUAGUUGAAUAAGCUGGCACCUUGACGGUACCUAACCAGAAAGCCACGGCUAACUACGUGCCAGCAGCCGCGGUAAUACGUAGGUGGCAAGCGUUAUCCGGAAUUAUUGGGCGUAAAGCGCGCGCAGGUGGUUUCUUAAGUCUGAUGUGAAAGCCGCACGGCUCAACCGUGGAGGGUCAUUGGAAACUGGGAGACUUGAGUGCAGAAGAGGAAAGUGGAAUUCCAUGUGUAGCGGUGAAAUGCGUAGAGAUAUGGAGGAACACCAGUGGCGAAGGCGACUUUCUGGUCUGUAACUGACACUGAGGCGCGAAAGCGUGGGGAGCAAACAGGAUUAGAUACCCUGGUAGUCCACGCCGUAAACGAUGAGUGCUAAGUGUUAGAGGGUUUCCGCCCUUUAGUGCUGAAGUUAACGCAUUAAGCACUCCGCCUGGGGAGUACGAGCCGGAAGGCUGAANCUCAAANAAAUUGACGGGGGCCCGCACAAGCNGUGGAGCAUAGUGGUUUAAUACGAAGCAACGCGAAGAACCUUACCAGGUCUUGACAUCCUCUGAAAACCCUAGAGAUAGGGCUUCUCCUUCGGGACGCAGAGUGACAGGUGGUGCAUGGUUGUCGUCAGCUCGUGUCGUGAGAUGUUGGGUUAAGUCCCGCAACGAGCGCAACCCUUGAUCCUAGUUGCC
rnacentral:rRNA from 1 species